CUAAUUCUGUGCUACAGUUUUCUGAAAAAUGUAAAACUAACUAUUAGAAAGUGUAAUUUAUAUAUUACACAAACUAGAAAGUUGGUAUGGCAUCAAGCAAGUUUUGGAGGUAGCUGGGCUGGCUCUAAUCCUUUCUAUCCCUUCUAGCUGUGUGACCUUGAACAAAUUACUUGACAUCUCUGUGAGUUGACUUCUACAUCUAUGAAAUGGGGGUAUUAAUAGUACCUGACUUCAGGGUUGUUAGAGGGUUAAUUUGUGAUGUGUGUACCUGACCCAUAAUUAGUGUGUUAUUUUUCUUUAUCAUCGUCAUCAUUUACUCCAUUUUCAUAACAGUUGAACAGGACUUAUUUUUCCAGGGGCCUAGUGCAGUCUUUUAUACCUGAUUGGCUCUUAACAAAUGAACAAAUCUGAACUUUUGAAUUAGAAUGAUCGUGAGCUAAAACAGAAAGUGAUUUAAAGAUCCUUUCCUUUGAGGGGUAGGAUAUAUCUCAAGUGCUAGAGCAUGUGCUUAGCAUGCACAAGGUCCUAGGUUCAAUACCCAGUUCCCCUCUAAAAUUAAAUAGGUAAGUAAAUAAACCAAAUUACCUCCCCUCACCUAAAAGUAAAUAACAAAAAUAAAAUAAAUUUAAAAAAAUCCAUUCCUUGACUUUGUGAGCCUUUUGUGUUUAAUGAUAGUCACAGAGCUUCUGGAAUUUUCCGUUUAGUUUCCACUCAUGGCCUCAUACACGCAAUGAGAAAGGUUGGGUAAUAGAGGGAGACGCUGGGCAGGGCAAUCAUUUGACCUACAUUCCUUCACUCUUUAAUAAAAAGGCUUUAUUCGCAGUCUUGAGUAACAGCAAACAUUCCAUCUCCUCCGGCAUGCCUUCUUGCUGAGGUAACAGAUGCGAGCCAAGCCCGUGGAGGGCACUCAGGCACACGUGUGCUGCCCAGGCUGCUCUCCUGGAAAAAGCAGACCAGGUGCCACCCCACGGCGCAGCACCGGGGAAGCAGGCUCGGGUCCGCUGACUCUGAACCCUCACCCUGGGCCAGUGACUUAGCCUCUCUGAGGCUCAGCUUUCUCACCCUCGAGAUCAUGAAAAUGGAGGGUUACAGACAGCAUGGCGCGAAACCUGGCACAGAAGAAAACAUAUUUAUCCAGUGGAAGUCUCACUACCUCCUCUGUGCCAGCCUCUCCUUAAGCCAGGUGCCAGGGACACAGGUGACCAAAGUCACAAGACCAACUGCCUGACAGUGUUAACUGGCCAGCAGACAGACCGUCCUACAGAGGGGCACAGUAAGCACAGUAAGCCCAGUGAGGGAAUAAAGGGCGGCGGUGAGAGCGCAUGAAGACGGAGGCUGGGACCUGAUGGGUGUCUCCUACUCAACAUUGGAAAACACUUGUUCUAGUUUAUUAGUUUACAAAGCAUUUUUAGUUCACCAUCUUAGUGUUCUGAGAGCAACCCUGGAGCUUGGGUGCACAUCCCCAGAGCUUUCCUCAGUAAAGUUCCUGCUGGUGAUCUUCACCUCAGAGUCGCUUCCUGGGGAAUUGACCUGCAUCAAAUGACCUCUGAGGUUUCCAGGCAGCAGAAACAAUGUGAACAAGGAUAUGGCAUAAUGUAGCAGAAUGAAAGGGAGCUGAUGGCGGAGGACUUUGAAGGACAGGCUGAAGUAUCAGCCUUGAUAGAGAACACUCCAGAAAGCUUGGCUGGCCCACCUGCUGUAGCUAUUGCCCCGUGAGAACACUGGAGCCCACCCUGACAUCCCCUUUGUAAAGAGAAUUUGUAACCCAGAUAUAUCUGCCCUGACCUUUAACAUUUACUGCCCCAUCCGUCCGUGAUCCUGUGACUCAGGCCCUGAAGCUGGAGAGGGAGGAUCUGAAUUUAGGAUCUCCCUUGCCAACUUUAUUCCUGUAUGACUUUAGAGCUUUUGUUCCUCAUUUGUAAAAUGGAUAUACUGUACAGCACAGGGAACUAUAUUCAGUAUCUUGUGGUAACCUAUAAUGAAAAGAAUCUGAAAAGGAAUGUACAUAUGUAUAUAUGUAUGACUGAAACAUUAUGCUGUACACCAGAAAUUGACACAAUAAAUUGAAAAUUGACUGUACUUCAUAAAAAAAAAAAAGGAGAGAAGAAAUGGAUAUGCUGUGAGGAUUGAAAUAUUCCUAAUUUCAUGGGCAUUUCAUUGGUGUCAUGUAACAGGAGGCUUCCCCGGCCACAAUAACUGGAUGAUACUAAGCUAAGCUCAAUUAAAUGGAUUUCUUUACUGUAGGAUUUCUCAGUCUUUAAUAUGCUGCUGUGCCUUGUGAUCUCAAGGAGGGAGGUGUAAUCCAAAUCAUCGUACCUUAACUCAUCAGGAAGAACUUUCCCCUCCCAACACCUUCCAGGGAGCAUCUAAUAGGCUGUGUCCUGCUGAAGUCAUAUUGAGAAACCCUGACCCACAACAUAGCAAACAGUUAUAAAAUGUUAAGCUGGAUUCUGUUGAUCACCAUGGUCUGCCCUGCCUUGACAUGAAACUAAGGAAUCUUUCAGAAAUUUGUUAAGAUGUCCCGGUGACUCUGGUACUCAAGAUCAUUGUGGUCUUGCUUAUUUAAAUUUGGUAAGGUAUAAUUCCCUUCAAAGAUACCUCCAAAUUAUGACGUGCAUCUUUUAAAGAAUGAUACUCUCUCAAGCCUUUAGAUUUGGGGGGAUUGUGGGUUUCCAGUGCAUGCACUGUCCACUGGGCUGGCAGUGGCCACCACGUUGUGCUGAAACACACGAUGGCUGCCUUGUGGGGACAGAGCAAUGUGUUGAGAAGGAUGCUGAAGCUGUGUCUAGGCUGUGUGAGCAGGGGUGCUCUGCUGGAUUAGUGAUGUCCAUUAACCCAGCAUUUGCUACCUUUAUUUUAGACCAUAGUAAAAUUUAAUUUAUACAUUACUUUUUCAAGACAGUGAGAGAAUAAAUAAAUUGUAUAUAAACUAUCUCAAGUGCAGCAUGUUCAAAACUAACUCAUCAUCAUCUUCUCCUCUAACUUCAGUCUAUGCCGUACCUUUCAUCUCAGAUCGUGGCAGUGGCCUCCACCAACAUACACAUGAUUCCCCCAGGUCUUCAUUUCCUGUAACCAAUCAGCCACCGAAUCUUGCCAGUUUUACCUUCUAUAUGUGUCUCAAAGCUUUCCCCUCCUCAUUGCAGCUACCGCCCCAACCCUGCAAAUGCUCUUAACUCUCACCCCAGCCUCUACAGCUUCUCCCUGCUGGCGUCCCUGCUUCAGCCCUGUACCCUUCAAAUCCUUCCCCCAAUCUACCCGUCUAC